rnacentral:snoRNA from 1 species
UCGGCCUGGCUAAGGCCAGGAGGUCGCCAGAGCUGUGGGUUUCAGGCAGGAGCCUAGAGAAAUGCCUUUCAGUGGUCCGUAAGCCGUUCCACGGUUUGGGAAAUGGGAUGGUCAGUUCAUGAGAAACAUCU